GCCGCUUUAGAAGUUGGCAUCUCUCCUUUAAAACUCAGCGAUACGAGAGGAACAAACUGUCGCAAAAUUAUUCCAACAUGAACGCUAAAUUUCUGCUGGCUUUUACACUCGUCCUUCUUGCAACUUUCGUAGCGGAGAAUGAAGCCUUUACCGCUGGUGGAGGGGGAAAUCUUCCUUUUUCAGGAAAGCGCGACCUAGCCAAGUCUCACCAACUGGCCGGGAGAGCCUUGUGUACAGCUGCUAGAGAACACUGCAAGAGGGAAUUUGUAUUGGAGGACAUCAAUGAAUGAAGAGGUGGAGGAGAUCAGGACUGAACUGAAGCUUACUAUUGCCUCUUGUUGCUCUUGUAAAAUCACUAAUUAAUAAAGAGUGAAAUAAGAAAUCUUUA